GCUCCAAUAUUACCAAAAAAAAUAAAAAGAAAAUCUUCUCAUAAAAAAUAACAAAAAUAGCAUCCAUUUUAGAAAGACAAAAAGAAAGUUGGAAAAGAGACUUAGGGUUCUCAACGAAAUACUCAUAAAUUUAUGCUUUUAUUCUGAAUCUUCAAACAAAAAAUCAAUAGCAGACACUGGGUACCCGAUCUGCAAAUUUUUCUACCACAAAUCUGCUAGCAAAAGCUCGACAAAAUCCGUGUGAUUAGGUUGCAGGUCGACGGUUCUGCGUGCUUCCGAAGACAGGAAAUUUAAAAGAACUGAUUUUGGUACAGUAGUAUUCACUGAAAUUAACCUAAUUAGCGGAAUGGAGUAGACCAGCUUUUUAUUUCAACAAGUUUCAAAGGAUAACUAUCUGAACACCCUUUUAGAGGGUCUUUACACUGGAGCAUGCAAUAAAAGAGAUUGUCAAAUAUGAACAUGGAAUCUUGCAGCCAUUUUGUUGAAGCUUCUUUAUUAUUUAAGGACUUGGACUUCAUAUUUGCUCUGGUAUGAUACUGAACUGUCCUCCUAGCAAUGCCCUCAACUUUUUCAUGGAUGCAUUAUUUGUUCCACUAAAUGCCUGAGAAAUUAUAUAGGAUACUUAAUUGGUUUAAGUUUCAAGGUUUUUAUGGUAAUAUACCUUAAUUUGAAUUUACUAUUUUAGCACUAAUUAGCAAUUUUGAUCAAUUUAUGCAGAAACAUUUUUUUGCCUAGAAUUUUCAUGCUUCUCUUUUCUAGGCAAAAAAAAUGUUUACUAGAAUUUUCAUAUCUUGGAUUUUAGUAAAUUUACCACUGAUAGAUUAUACAGAUAAGAGGAAGUAGUUGUUUUGAUAAACCAAGAUAUAAGGGAUAUCUAGGAGUGAAGCAAGUGCAUUGGGCAGUUGUUUGCACUUGCAGCAAGUGCAAGCAAGGCUGAGCACUUGCAGCAUUUCAGCAAGUGCUAGCAAGUGUGCACUUGCUUGUACUUGCUGCACUGCUAGCAAGUGCAGCUGUACACUUGUUGCACUUAUUGCUUUGGGCACUUGUUGCACAGAAUUUUAGAUCUAAUUUCAUCUUUUAUUGUAUUUGGGUUGAAUACAAUAUAGAAAUUAUUAAGAUGAUUCCAAUAAUCUACUUCAAAUUUGAGUUGAUAGAUUGAACAAGCAUGUGUUUUGAAUAUUAUAUUCGCAUAGUGGGUUGUAUUGAUAUUUAGGUUCUUUGUUGAGAUUUGAGCCACUUUUUAAACCUAGUGAUGCUAUUAAGUGGUAUAAUCAUAUAAGUCAUAUUGAAAUGAAUAAAAAAUUAAAUAAAUUUAAUCUAAAUAAAUAAUAUGCUAUUUAUGCUUUGUGUGUACUUUUUAUGUUUUUUUUUCCCUUCUUUUGGAACAUUCUAAAUUUUAUAUGUUGUUAUUUAUCUGAGGUGUACGAAUAAAUCAGCCAUACAUUAAUCUUUCAUUUGGAUAUGAAGUUCGUUUAUACUCUUUUUGGAAUGAACUUUAUCUAUUGGAUAUAUGUAAUUAAGAUUUUUUUUCAUUUUAUUUAGAGCUAAUUUACAUUGAUUGUAUAAGAGAAUGUUUUUGGAUUAGACAUCGUAUAACAAAUAUUUUUUAAUUGAUAUAUAUAGAAAUUGUUUCAUUA